rnacentral:tRNA from 13 species
ACGUUUUAACGUAUUACGUUAUAUGGUAUAACGUUAUAAGUUAUUACGUUAUAUGGGACGACGUUAUAACGUAAUACGUUAUAUGU